GACGAACGCUGGCGGCGUGCUUAACACAUGCAAGUCGAACGGAAAGGCCCUGCUUUUGUGGGGUGCUCGAGUGGCGAACGGGUGAGUAACACGUGAGUAACCUGCCCUUGACUUUGGGAUAACUUCAGGAAACUGGGGCUAAUACCGGAUAGGAGCUCCUGCUGCAUGGUGGGGGUUGGAAAGUUUCGGCGGUUGGGGAUGGACUCGCGGCUUAUCAGCUUGUUGGUGGGGUAGUGGCUUACCAAGGCUUUGACGGGUAGCCGGCCUGGGAGGGUGAACGGCCACAUUGGGACUGAGAUACGGCGCAGACUCCUACGGGAGGCAGCAGUGGGGAAUAUUGCACAAUGGGCGGAAGCCUGAUGCAGCAACGCCGCGUGCGGGAUGACGGCCUUCGGGUUGUAAACCGCUUUCGCCUGUGACGAAGCGUGAGUGACGGUAAUGGGUAAAGAAGCACCGGCUAACUACGUG
rnacentral:rRNA from 1 species